GCAAGUCGGACGGGAUUCAGGUUAGUAGCUUGCUUCAAACUGAUGAGAGUGGCGCACGGGUGCGUAACGCGUGAGCAACCUACCCAUAUCAGGGGGAUAGCCUCUCGAAAGAGAGAUUAACACCGCAUAACAUCAUUUACCGGCAUCGGUUGAUGAUCAAAUAUUUAUAGGAUAUGGAUGGGCUCGCGUGACAUUAGCUAGUUGGAGGGGUAACGGCCCACCAAGGCUACGAUGUCUAGGGGCUCUGAGAGGAGAAUCCCCCACACUGGUACUGAGACACGGACCAGACUCCUACGGGAGGCAGCAGUAAGGAAUAUUGGUCAAUGGAGGGAACUCUGAACCAGCCAUGCCGCGUGCAGGAUGACUGCCCUAUGGGUUGUAAACUGCUUUUGUCAGGGAAUAAACCUUUCCACGUGUGGGAAGCUGAAUGUACCUGAAGAAUAAGGAUCGGCUAACUCCGUGCCAGCAGCCGCGGUAAUACGGAGGAUCCAAGCGUUAUCCGGAUUUAUUGGGUUUAAAGGGUGCGUAGGCGGUCCUAUAAGUCAGUGGUGAAAGACGGCAGCUUAACUGUCGCAGUGCCUUUGAUACUGUAGGACUUGAAUCUAUUUGAAGUGGGCGGAAUAAGACAAGUAGCGGUGAAAUGCAUAGAUAUGUCUUAGAACUCCGAUUGCGAAGGCAGCUCACUAAGUUAGUAUUGACGCUG
rnacentral:rRNA from 1 species